GAACGAACGCUGGCGGCAGGCCUAACACAUGCAAGUCGAACGCUCCGCAAGGGGGAGUGGCGCACGGGGUGAGUAACACGUGGGAACCUACCUUCUGGUACGGAACAACCAAGGGAAACUUUGGCUAAGACCGUAUACGACCUCCGGGUGAAAGAUUGAUCGCCGGAAGAGGGGCCCGCGUCCGAUUAGGUAGUUGGUGAGGUAACGGCUCACCAAGCCUUCGAUCGGUAGCUGGUCUGAGAGGAUGACCAGCCACACUGGGACUGAGACACGGCCCAGACUCCUACGGGAGGCAGCAGUGGGGAA
rnacentral:rRNA from 1 species